UACCCGCUGAAUUUAAGCAUAUAAUUAAGCGGAGGAAAAGAAACUAACAAGGAUUCCCCU
rnacentral:rRNA from 2 species